CCCAGGGUUGCGGGGCCGUGCCAGGCACACAGAAAGAAACAGGGAGCGGCAGCUGUGGCAUGAUUUGAGGAGCCGGGAGAAGCAGAUGACUCUUGACAGGCCUGCUGAGGAAUUCUCUCUUCUCAUGCCUAGCACUGUUAGGGGGUGUGUGGAGAUGAAAAAGCACAGGAUGCAGAAUCAGAAGACCCUGUUUAAGACCUGGUUUCCUCGCUCACCUGCUGUGCUGCUGUUGAAAAAGACACCUAGUUCCUCUGAAUCCCUCCUCGUAGGGAAAAUGUCUCCGUAAAUAUAAAUAAAAUAAAGUUUUCCCAUUUAAAAAUGGGGAUGAUAAUAAAUGCUUAACUUCCAGGA
rnacentral:lncRNA from 1 species